rnacentral:rRNA from 1 species
GAUGAACGCUGGCGGCGUGCCUAAUACAUGCAAGUCGAGCGAAUGGAUUAAGAGCUUGCUCUUAUGAAGUUAGCGGCGGACGGGUGAGUAACACGUGGGUAACCUGCCCAUAAGACUGGGAUAACUCCGGGAAACCGGGGCUAAUACCGGAUAACAUUUUGAACCGCAUGGUUCGAAAUUGAAAGGCGGCUUCGGCUGUCACUUAUGGAUGGACCCGCGUCGCAUUAGCUAGUUGGUGAGGUAACGGCUCACCAAGGCAACGAUGCGUAGCCGACCUGAUAGGGUGAUCGGCCACACUGGGACUGAGACACGGCCCGGACUACUACGGGAGGCAGCAGUAGGGAAUCUUCCGCAAUGGACGAAAGUCUGACGGAGCAACGCCGCGUGAGUGAUGAAGGCUUUCGGGUCGUAAAACUCUGUUGUUAGGGAAGAACAAGUGCUAGUUGAAUAAGCUGGCACCUUGACGGUACCUAACCAGAAAGCCACGGCUAACUACGUGCCAGCCGCCGCGGUAA